UUCAACAUUUGUUGAAUUAGAGAGCUAGAGAGAGAAGCUCCAGCCAUGGCAGCUCACGCCCAUGGCUGUGCAAAUUGAGCUCACAAUUCUUGAUGCCAAAUUUAAUUUUCUAAGGUGUUCCAAUCACUUAAAGACCAUUAGCAACGUGAAUUUGAGCAUUGGGGGCAGCAUGAACGUUUGUAUUUAAAUUCAUCAACUUCAGCAACGUUAAGGAGUUAAACUUGUUAAGGUUGAGACACUACGGGCAGCGUAUACGUAUUGUAUUACGGAUAAGCGUUGAAGGUGUAGAUACUCGCUUUGGUGAUCCUCCAGCUUAGGACUUCUACUCAGCUGUCUUGGAGUGCUCCAUUGUUUCGGAGCCUAGACUUUUGGUACAGAUCCUUUUGAUGUAUAUAUAUAUGUUUAUCCAGGGGUACGGCGGGGCCUUGUCCCGUCAUAUGUCACUAUUGAUACUCUUAGAGGUCUGUAGACAUAUGUGUGGGUUGUGUACAGAUGUUGUUCGGCUGUGUUAGCAUGACUUAUAUUUGGGACGUUCCCAUACGUAGUGGCAGCCUUGUCGGCUUGCAUAUAUAUUUUGGGAUGUUCCCGUAUGUAGUGGCAGCCUUGCCGGCUUGCGUGUUAUGUCAUGCUUGAUUGAUUGUGACUCCUCAGGAGAAAGGUUACCUUGAUGUAUAUAUAUAUGUGACAGU